CGCUUAUUUAUAAGUAUGAACACCGUGAUGACGUGGGAAUUGAUUUACAUGCAUUUGUAUUACAUUAAUCAUUCAGUGCCAGUUUUGAAACUAGAAACGUCUCAAACAUUUUAUUUGCAACCACAUCUGUCUAUUGAGGCUUAUCUUUUGUUCUUUCUUCAUUCAAGUUAGAUUGUUGAUUAAACAAUUGUAGUGCAAACACAGAAAUAUUAAAAAUCAGCUUUUGAAUAUUAUAAUUUAACUUAUAAAUCUAUGCCUCCUUCAUUUAUCUUUUGUAACUUGCGACGAAUCGCCGCACUUACUGAAUCUUCUAUCUAUCAUUCAAGCUCCUGUACACUUGGUCGAUCGUACGUAAUAGCACAAGGAGGAGAAGGAAUUGGACGAUAACGAGAAGAAGAAACUAAGGAAAAUCUAAGCUAAGGAGGAGAAGACGAAGAAGAGGAGGAAUGUGAGGAUAGAACAAUUCACACCUUUCAUGGUGCUGUCGCAGCGUCCUGUGAAAAUUCUUUUGCAUCUGAAUACAACGAUGCAUACAUUCACAACGAGGAUCACUUGAGGGAAAAGAGUUUAAGGAUGUCUAAGGAUAAUCUCAUAGAGAAAAGCGAGGAAGAAGAGCGACUUCUGGAG